ACAGGGAUUGCCCUAGUAACGGCGAGUGAAGCGGCAACAGCUCAAAUUUGAAAUCUGGCCUUCGGGUCCGAGUUGUAAUUUGUAGAGGAUGCUUUUGGCGCGGUGCCUUCCGAGUUCCCUGGAACGGGACGCCUUAGAGGGUGAGAGCCCCGUACGGUUGGACACCAAGCCUCUGUAAAGCUCCUUCGACGAGUCGAGUAGUUUGGGAAUGCUGCUCUAAAUGGGAGGUAAAUUUCUUCUAAAGCUAAAUACCGGCCAGAGACCGAUAGCGCACAAGUAGAGUGAUCGAAAGAUGAAAAGCACUUUGAAAAGAGGGUUAAAUAGCACGUGAAAUUGUUGAAAGGGAAGCGUUUACGGCCAGACCUUUUCCUGGCGGAUCAUCUGGUGUUCUCACCAGUGCACUCCGCCAGGUUUAGGCCAGCAUCGGCUCCCGUAGGGGGAUAAAAGCAGUGGGAAAGUAGCUCCCUCGGGAGUGUUAUAGCCCGCUGCACAAUACCCUUACAGGGGCCGAGGACCGCGCUUUUGCAAGGAUGCUGGCGUAAUGGUCGUCAACGACCCGUCUUGAAACACGGACCAAGGAGUCGAACAUUUGUGCGAGUGUUUGGGUGUCAAACCCUCACGCGUAAUGAAAGUGAACGGAGGUGAGAGCCCUCUAGGGGGUGCAUCAUCGACCGAUCCUGAUGUCUUCGGAUGGAUUUGAGUAAGAGCAUAACUGUUCGGACCCGAAAGAUGGUGAACUAUGCGUGGAUGGGUGAAGCCAGAGGAAACUCUGGUGGAGGCUCGCAGCGGUUCUGACGUGCAAAUCGAUCGUCAAAUCUGCGCAUGGGGGCGAAAGAC
rnacentral:rRNA from 1 species